CGCGAGCACCCGAGGGCCCCGCCGCAGUCGGGAGCAGGGAGGGGGAUCCCGGGGCCUGGCGAAGGUCACCCCCCCCACCCCAGUUUGGUCCCUGGCCUGGGAAUUCUCUGCGGAAAUCCUGGCCUGGAGCUGCGGGUGGGGUGAGGGGAGUUGGGUUUUAGCCGCCUCCCAUCCGGAUAAUUUGAAGGUGCAUUUCUCAGGGUCUCGGAUUUUCUUACACUGGGCAGCGGCUCCCAGGGUCCGGCGGUUCUGGGCCUCGGACCCCCAAGGGAAGCAAGAGUAAUUUCAGGGCCGGCCCAGCAGUGACAACUUAGGAACCCAUUUUAAGAUGUCUCAGGGAGAGGAACUGGAUAGUCUCCUAUGCAUCGUCUAUUUGCCUCCUCAUCUGGACUGGAAGCCUCUUAAGAACCAGGGGCCAAUGCAUCAUGUAUCAUGGUUUCCACCUGUCAUAGGUACUCAGGUAUCUGUUGAUAAUAGUUAUAACUGUCAUUAAGAGACAUCAUGCAAUUUCGGUUGACAAAAUUGUGGUCAAUUACAGAAAUAUAGUUGGCCUUUGAAUAACACGGGCGUUAGAGACGCCAACCCCCUGCAGGGUCAAAAAUCCAUGUAUAGGGCAGCCCGGGUGGCUCAGUGGUUUAGCGCUGCCUUCAGCCCAGGGCCUGAUCCUGGAGACCUGGGAUCGAGUCCCA